rnacentral:lncRNA from 1 species
AUGCAGGGGCUAUCGCCGCCGCCACCCCCACCCACCCCCGCCCCCGUCCUGUCCAUUGCUUGGCUUCACAAUGGGCCCUUGCCUGGUAGACCUGGCCUCCAUGGAUUGUGCCCUCCAUGCCAUUCGGUGCUCCACACUGCACUUCUCUCCAAACCAAAGUCCAAGGGAGACCCCGGAGAAAUUUCAAGGGCCCCAGACUUGUGCGGGGUGAGGUCUGCCAGGCCAAGACUCCUCGUUUACAACAAGAGGGAGCAUUGUGGACUGGAAGGAGAGCAUGGCCCCUGUGGUCCUCAUCGCCAGGAUUCCCCAGGAAUGGGUGACAUUCAAGGAUGUGGCUGUGGAUUUCACUCCGGAGGAGUGGGGGCACCUCAAUCUCUCUCAGAAGGAGCUGUACAGGGACGUGAUGCUGGAGAACUUUAGGAACCUGCUCUGUCUGGGUGAGGCAGAUCCUUUCCUUCUUCUCUUGGUAUAUGACAAAGACAAGGAAUUACUGACCCUUCUGUGGCCAACACCAGGACAAUUGUGCCUCCACAUCCCUUUGGCUCAUAGGAUCAUAGAUUUAGGGCUGGAAGGGACCUUCAGGCUCAGUCACUACUACAUCUUCCCCCUUUUUCAUAGGCUUUUGGAGCAAUAAAGAUGGCAAACCAGUUUUCUUUCUGCAAACCCUUCCUCUGUACUUUUUAGAAACACAAUGCAAAUCAUUUUCCCAAGAGUUUUUGUCCCACCCAUCGAAUUUUCCCAGAAUACUCACUUUCCCCCAAAGACAGAGGGGAUUCAAAAUAGAAUUUGGGUUAGACACAGAGUUCAGGUUAGAAACAGGGUUAGAGUAGAAGUAAGAUUGCAGGGAAAAUGCUCUCC